rnacentral:rRNA from 1 species
UACGAAGGGGCUAGCGUUGCUCGGAAUCACUGGGCGUAAAGCGCACGUAGGCGGAUUCUUAAGUCGGUGGUGAAAUCCUGGAGCUCAACUCCAGAACUGCCCUCGAAACUGGCGAUCUUGAGUUCGGGAGAGGUGAGUGGAACUGCGAGUGUAGAGGUGAAAUUCGUAGAUAUUCGCAAGAACACCAGUGGCGAAGGCGGCUCACUGGCCCGAUACUGACGCUGAGGUGCGAAAGCGUGGGGAGCAACAGG